AAAUGAGUAAGUUGUUUUUUUUUUUAGAGAUAUAUAGUAUGUUUGUUAUCCGUUUCGUUUAUUUCAUUUAGAAAUAAAUUUAGUUAGAAAUAUAAAUCAACUAAAAUUCGAAUUUUGAAUCUCGGAUACCAACCAUCAAGCUAUUUAUCACUUACGCUAGGGACGGUCGGUAAGUGAGUAAGUUGUUGGGAGGUAUUAUCAGUUGAGGAGUUGGUGAGAAAUUUCAUGGGAUUCACAGUGUUCUUGUUUGUGUGUGUGUGUGUGUGUGUGUGUGUGUGUGUGUGUGUGUGUGUGUGUGUGAGAGAGAGAGAGAGAGAGAGAGAGAGAGAGAGAGAGAGAGAGAGAGAGAGAGAUUUAUGUGGUGAAGGGAGGCCAACAACCCACAUGGUUGGCAGUUGGCCAAAGAAGAUGGAAGGUAUGGAGAAGUUGGGCCAAACACUCACAUUACAAGGCAAGCUAGGCUAAUUUUGGAAUAACUUUUUGUCUCCUUUGCACAUAAAUUAAGCAUCCUCAUAUUUAUUUUUGGAUAAACUUCAAAUGCCAUCCAUGUGGUUUCGCAUUUUCUCACUUUAGUACCCUAUGAUUUAAAGUGCAUUAUCAAGUUAUUGUCCUGUAAUUUCAUUUCUAUCUUUUCGUUAGCUUCUCCGUUAAUAUUUCGUUAAAUUAUAUACAAAAAACUUCAGAUACUCCAUAAAGAUUUAUCGAAUAUUCACUUUAGUAUCCUUCAGUUUUAACUUUGUCACUGAUUUAACAAAAAAAAUUAGUGGAAUCGACAAUAAAAAGAUUGAAAUGAAACCACAGGACACUAAAUUGAUACACUUUAAACCAUAGGAUACCAAAGUGAGAAAGUAUAAAACCACAGGAGUGGUAUUUGAAGUUUUUCCUUUAUUUUUCCUCCUGCUGUUUCAAGAAGUGAGUUAUUUUUAAAUUUGAAAUA
rnacentral:lncRNA from 1 species